rnacentral:rRNA from 1 species
CCUGACUGCUAUCGGAUUGAUACUAAGCCAUGCAAGUCUUUGCAGUAAUGCAAGGCAUACGGCUCAGUAACACGUAGUCAACUUACCCUAUGGACGAGGAUAAUCUCGGGAAACUGAGCAUAAUACUCGAUAGAUCAUAAUGCCUGGAAUGGUUUAUGGUUGAAAUGAUUCGUCGCCAUAGGAUGGGACUGCGGCCUAUCAGCUUGUUGGUGAGGUAAUGGCCCACCAAGGCGAUUACAGGUACGGGCUCUGAGAGGAGAAGCCCGGAGAUGGGUACUGGGACAAGGACCCAGGCCCUAUGGGGCGCAGCAGGCGAGAAAACUUUGCAAUGUGCGAAAGCACGACAAGGUUAAUCCGAGUGAUUUCUGCUAAAGAAAUCUUUUGCAAGUCAUAAAACCACUAGUGAAUAAGGGGUGGGCAAGUUCUGGUGUCAGCCGCCGCGGUAAUACCAGCACCUCAAGUGGUCAGGAGGAUUAUUGGGCCUAAAGCAUCCGUAGCCGGCUCUGUAAGUUUUCGGUUAAAUCCAUGUGCUCAACGCAUGGGCUGCCGAAAAUACUGCAUAGCUAGGGAGUGGGAGAGGUAGACGGUACUCGGUAGGAAGGGGUAAAAUCCUUUGAUCUAUCGAUGACCACCUGUGGCGAAGGCGGUCUACCAGAACACGUUCGACGGUGAGGGAUGAAAGCUGGGGGAGCAAACCGGAUUAGAUACCCGGGUAGUCCCAGCUGUAAACGAUGCAGACUCGAUGAUGCAUUGGCAUAUAGCCAGUGCAGUGUCGCAGGGAAGCCGUUAAGUCUGCCGCCUGGGAAGUACGUACGCAAGUAUGAAACUUAAAGGAAUUGGCGGGGGAGCACCACAAGGGGUGAAGCCUGCGGUUC